UACCUCUCUUCUCAUUUCAACAGAUACAGCCUGGUGCACUUUUGUUGAGGUGACUUUUUGCUCACCCUGUUGCCUUUAAUUCUCAGCAAGCUAUUGAGAGGCCUUUUUCUGCUGCUCACCCCUGCAACACUUCCUGGGUUCAGAAUGGUGGCCUUCUGGAUCCCUGCACUGCCCUGUUGUCCAUGCCGGGUUCUGGCUGGGGCCUGUGUACACUUGGUAUAGUAUCUGGCCGUGCCUCUGGCUGUGAUCUGACCCCCUACGUAGUUGUUUUCUGGGAGGGCCCUUGCCUGGGGCUGUGCCCCACAGUCACUGGUGGCUAAGCAGGCUUCUGACUGGGGUCUGCAUGCCCUUACCAAUGGUUUCAGGGUGGCCCUCUGGAUGUUAUUUGUGGACCUGUGCAGCUCUUUUCCAGGUCAGAGGCCCAGAUUCUGCAGAUUUCCAACGUUUCAUGGGCAGUGGGUUUCAUCUCUGGGAGUCUGGCUUCAGAGUGUGCAUUGCUGCCCACCAUUGGCCUCUGUGGGGAAGACAGCAAGCCCAGCAGACCAUACAGGUUCACAGCUUGAUCUGUUCUCUUCUCUCUCAGUAUCGUAAAAGAUGACUUCAAAGUUCUACUCUCUGUAUGAAAGAACAGUAGGUUAACUGACCCAAUUAGAUAAAAAACAGUGAAAUAAAUAAUAGUACCUCAUUAUAUCAUAAGACAACUUAAAGUCCUGGUAAGCAACCUUUCAAAAUGCAUAGCCACGUUGCCAUUUCAAAAGAUCUCUCCAGGAGGGUUCUAUGUGGGAGAAAGUAGCUACAAGCUAUUUUCAUAUCUCAGCAUGGAUGGUUCAGGUCUUCAUUUUCUGACUGUGAUAUUAACAUGCCCUUUCUAUAACUGUUUGAGGAUGUGUGGAUGAUACAAGCCAAAGAGGACGUUUAUUUUGUUUCUACUUUCUAAGGCAGGAAAAUGAUGUAGUAAAUAUUGAGCUGUAAUGGCAUGAUUCUAAGAGAUGUAAUUUUAAGUCAUUUUUCUCUUGUCACUCAAUAGUUUAAUUUUAUUAUAAAUUUAUGUUAAGCUUUAAAUAAUGAAUGACUGUAAACUUAAAAGUAUUUAUUAAAAUUUAAU
rnacentral:lncRNA from 1 species